AGAGUUUGAUCCUGGCUCAGGAUGAACGCUAGCGGCAGGCUUAACACAUGCAAGUCGAGGGGCAGCAUAAUGGUAGUAAUACUAUUGAUGGCGACCGGCGGACGGGUGCGUAACGCGUAUGCAACCUACCCUUUACAGGGGGAUAACACUGAGAAAUCGGUACUAAUACCCCAUAAUAUUCUGGGAGGCAUCUUUCGGAGUUGAAAGCUUUGGUGGUAAAGGAUGGGCAUGCGUUGUAUUAGCUAGUUGGUAAGGUAACGGCUUACCAAGGCGACGAUACAUAGGGGGACUGAGAGGUUAACCCCCCACAUUGGUACUGAGACACGGACCAAACUCCUACGGGAGGCAGCAGUGAGGAAUAUUGGUCAAUGGACGCAAGUCUGAACCAGCCAUGCCGCGUGCAGGAUGACGGCUCUAUGAGUUGUAAACUGCUUUUGUACGAGGGUAAACGCAGAUACGUGUAUCUGUCUGAAAGUAUCGUACGAAUAAGGAUCGGCUAACUCCGUGCCAGCAGCCGCGGUAAUACGGAGGAUCCAAGCGUUAUCCGGAUUUAUUGGGUUUAAAGGGUGCGUAGGCGGUUUGAUAAGUUAGAGGUGAAAUACCGGUGCUUAACACCGGAACUGCCUCUAAUACUGUUGAGCUAGAGAGUAGUUGCGGUAGGCGGAAUGUAUGGUGUAGCGGUGAAAUGCUUAGAGAUCAUACAGAACACCGAUUGCGAAGGCAGCUUACCAAACUAUAUCUGACGUUGAGGCACGAAAGCGUGGGGAGCAAACAGGAUUAGAUACCCUGGUAGUCCACGCAGUAAACGAUGAUAACUCGUUGUCGGCGAUACACAGUCGGUGACUAAGCGAAAGCGAUAAGUUAUCCACCUGGGGAGUACGUUCGCAAGAAUGAAACUCAAAGGAAUUGACGGGGGCCCGCACAAGCGGAGGAACAUGUG
rnacentral:rRNA from 1 species